rnacentral:snoRNA from 1 species
CCCCUCUCAGGAUCACACCUGGAGAGUUCCUAGUACUCUACCAGUCUCAACUACAGGAGGGAGAGGCAGGCAGAGGCAUAUCCAUUCCAUUCCUGGCUUGGGCAGUGGCUGGCGAAUGGAAGGCAAUCUGCUACAAGU